AUUGAACGCUGGCGGAAUGCUUUACACAUGCAAGUCGAACGGUAGAGGGGGCAACCCCUCGAGAGUGGCGAACGGGUGAGUAAUAUAUCGGAACGUGCCCAGUCGUGGGGGAUAACGUAGCGAAAGUUACGCUAAUACCGCAUACGAUCUACGGAUGAAAGCGGGGGAUCGCAAGACCUCGCGCGAUUGGAGCGGCCGAUAUCAGAUUAGGUAGUUGGUGGGGUAAAGGCUCACCAAGCCAACGAUCUGUAGCUGGUCUGAGAGGACGACCAGCCACACUGGAACUGAGACACGGUCCAGACCCCUACGGGAGGCAGCAGUGGGGAAUUUUGGACAAUGGACGCAAGUCUGAUCCAGCCAUUCCGCGUGCAGGAUGAAGGCCCUCGGGUUGUAAACUGCUUUUGUACGGAACGAAAAGGUUUCCAUUAAUACUGGGAGCUCAUGACGGUACCGUAAGAAUAAGCACCGGCUAACUACGUGCCAGCAGCCGCCGUAA
rnacentral:rRNA from 1 species